ACAAGAUAUUUAUAUUAACAAAUCAUAACUGUUCCAAUGACACCUCACAUGACUUACCUUGUAUAAAAUACAUUAUAAGUAUGUCAUAAUCAUAU